rnacentral:sRNA from 1 species
GAAAGGCUUCCAGAUGCUGGCGGAUCCCGGCUCCUUCGACUCCAACGCCUUCACGCUUCUCCUCCGGGCGGCAUUCCAGAGUCUGCUGGACGCCCAGGCGGACGAGGCCGUGUUAGAUCAUCCAGACUUGAAACAUAUCGACCCAGUGGUUUUAAAACAUUGUCAUGCAGCAGCUGCAACUUACAUACUAGAGGCAGGAAAGCACCGAGCUGACAAGUCAACUCUAAGCACUUAUCUAGAAGACUGUAAAUUUGACAGAGAGCGAAUAGAACUGUUUUGCACGGAAUAUCAGAAUAAUAAGAAUUCCCUAGAAAUCCUACUGGGAAGGUAGGUACUGUAUAAGGUGUCAAGCUGAGGCACUUUUCACUUGCAGGUAUGAAUGGAGAGUGUUGGUGUGAAACAAGAUCUUCGGGAUCUUGACCCAAAGAAAAGGAGCCAAAGGGCAUGUCAAACAAUUGAAGUUAAGCUAAUGUUUUUAAAGAUAGUUUAUUGAGAUGAUUUUGAAAUGCUCCUUUACCAUUCAGAAUUUAAAAAUAAAGUUUAACAAUGGUUUAAAUUCAGAAUGGAUUAAAAUGGAGUUGGGGGUGGAAAGUAGAGCCAUUCUUAGUAAAUAAUAAAUAACUGAAAAGUUCUUUUGAGAAGACUAUGUACAAAGUUAUCAUUGCAUCUUUCAGUAUAGGCAGAUCGCUCCCUCAUAUAACGGAUGUUUCUUGGCGCUUGGAAUAUCAGAUAAAGGUAUAGUUUAAGAAACUUCUCUAGGGGGGAUUUAGGGAACUUCUUAAAACCUAGAGUUAAAAGCUGUUACGUGUUUGUUGUGUUAUUUUAGACCAAUCAACUUCAUAGGAUGUACAGACCUGCAUAUUUGGUGACCUUAAGUGUACAGGUAUUUAUAGAUAAGUCUUAUCCAGUAAUGAAAUUUAUAAUUUUAUUGAUUUAAAUAAACAGCGUUUUUUGUUGCGUGUUUUUUUUCCUGCCCUAGAACACUGAUUCCCCAUCCUAUCCAGAGAUUAGUUUUAGUUGCAGCAUGGAACAAUUACAGGACUUGGUGGGGAAACUUAAAGAUGCUUCGAAAAGCCUGGAAAGAGCAACUCAGUUGUAACUUGGGGAAGUUAACGAUCCGCCCGAGUGCAGAGGAAAACCAGAGACGCCUUGCCUUCAGCUGAACCACCGUUUGUGCGAGCUGGAUGUCCUUUUCAGUAGAAAAGAAUUUUCUUUUUGAAUUUAUGCCAUUCAUCAAUUUUGACACUUUAAAAACAUGUGUGAAAGGGUUAAGAGGGAAAGAUACUGCCCAAGUAUUUGAAUCGUUUAGUAGUAACUGUCCAUUUAUCCUAUUUUGAUCUUUUUCAAGUCUUCUGAAAGGAAGUAGACAGUAUUACACCCUGAAUAAAUAAGGUGGUGUUUUCCACAAA